GGCGGUGUGGGUAGGUAGCGGUGUGGGCAGGUAGCGGUGUGGGCAGGUAGCGGUGUGGGCAGGUAGCGGUGUGGGCAGGUAGCGGUGUGGGUAGGUAGCGGUGUGGGCAGGUAGCGGUGUGGGCAGGUAGCGGUGUGGGCAGGUAGCGGUGUGGGCAGGUAGCGGUGUGGGCAGGUAGCGGUGUGGGCAGGUAGCGGUGUGGGCAGGUAAUGGUGUGGGCAGGUA